AAUUAGUUAAUUAACAGGCAGCCGCUCCGUCCAGCUAAGUAUUCUACUUGUUUUAAUAUUAAUAAUCGUCAGUCUUAUAGAUGUGAUCUCACUGUGGCACUGCUUUCAGGUUAUGCACACCGAUUAAUAUAUAUGUGCAUCCAGCCACUGCACCGGAUGGAUAAAAAUAAUAAAUAAACUGUCAGAAGGAUAAAAGAGAUGGUAAGUAUAGAAUUAUUGUCAGUCUUUAUAAUCGCUCGCCGUGUUGUGUCAUAUUAAUAAAAAUUUCCUGUUGCAGAUGUCAUGCAGGUGAAAUAGUAAAUAUAUAAAUAAAAUAAAUAAAAUAAAUAGAUAAAUAAAUCGACAACACAACGAUGGAACGACCAGCAGACGGACACAGAGACAAGUAACAAGAAUUAUUGCUAAUAAAUCACACAGGCUACUGCAUCGAUGGAAACUGCGCUGUGUGCAUAUAUGUAUAUAAAAUAUGUGGUUCUCGCCACAUCCAAGUCCAAAUCUGACACCUAACCUAUCAUUUAGUUUGACAGUUAGUACACUAGAGUUUUAUAUUUAUGUGAAAUUAAUAGUAAUUUAAGCUUUUAUUUAUGCAGUGGCCGUUCAAGCAGAGACAACAGGCGUAGUGAUGCCUGCCAAUUAUUCAAUUUGAUAUAUAUUUCAAUGCAUAUAGUUAGAGUAGUAUUAUAUGAAAUUCUUUCUCGACAGCUGCCACAGUGAGAUGCCGGACAAUAUAAUGCGAUAGUUCUGGAGUGCAGUGCAAUAUGGAGCGACUGCAGCAGCCUAUUCUACGCGCGGAGAGAAAUGCAAACGCCUGCAGCACUUAUUAUAUGGGCCCAUGCAUAUGUGGCAGUACUGGUCAUCGACUCACUCUGCGCAGCCAAAGCGAG